rnacentral:rRNA from 1 species
AGUGAACGCUGGCGGUAGGCCUAACACAUGCAAGUCGAACGGCAGCACAGUAAGAGCUUGCUCUUACGGGUGGCGAGUGGCGGACGGGUGAGGAAUACAUCGGAAUCUACUUUUUCGUGGGGGAUAACGUAGGGAAACUUACGCUAAUACCGCAUACGACCUACGGGUGAAAGCAGGGGAUCUUCGGACCUUGCGCGAUUGAAUGAGCCGAUGUCGGAUUAGCUAGUUGGCGGGGUAAAGGCCCACCAAGGCGACGAUCCGUAGCUGGUCUGAGAGGAUGAUCAGCCACACUGGAACUGAGACACGGUCCAGACUCCUACGGGAGGCAGCAGUGGGGAAUAUUGGACAAUGGGCGAAAGCCUGAUCUAGCCAUACCGCGUGGGUGAAGAAGGCCUUCGGGUUGUAAAGCCCUUUUGUUGGGAAAGAAAAGCAGCAGGUUAAUACCCCGCUGUUCUGACGGUACCCAAAGAAUAAGCACCGGCUAACUUCGUG